rnacentral:lncRNA from 1 species
CGAUACUCCCGUAGCAGGGAUAAAAUAGAUUCCAAAUGGAAAAUAAACUCGCAGAGCAUACGUACAGGAAGACAAGAGAAGGGGAGGGAAAAUAAGCCAAACCUGCAGGAAACAACACAACAAAGCGAAAGUGAGGGAAAAGGAAAACCUUCCCAGGAACAAUCUGAACAGACUUCUUAGAUCCCAUUGGCAGAACUGACUCAUGGAUCCAACUGACAUUGGCUGCCCCUUAUGCCGUGGACACUGGGAAGGCAAGGAAGAUGACGGCUGUGAUUGGCUCUGACAAGUUUCAGUCUCCAUCAGAUCCAGCGAGGCAAAAUCCAUCACCAUUCUGAACCAAUGCUGAGGAAAGGAAGAAAGGAAAAUGGAU